CGAAGCCGAAGCCACCUGUCGAUGAUGCUGCAGCCGCGGCUGCCUCAGAUGUGGAGGACGACAUGUCGAUGGACUCAUACAGAAUAUUUUGGAGAACUGCCAGUCAGCUACAAUCGCGAGCCUGACCUACUCCUGCCUGUUCAAGCUCAGAGUCAGACCAUCACAUGGACCAGUGAUUUCCAGCACGGAGUCAUCCCGAGAUGAGUUUUCUCUCAGUUCAGCUGCAGUCCAGUUCUGUUUGACAAGAGGUGGUUAACCCAGUACCCAAGUUUCUGAACCUCAGAUCCAGAAGGCAAUAUCCCCAGAGGCUGAUGGGAACUGGACUUUCCAGCAGAAGUGUGAUCAGACCAAAUGACCAGAGACGACAGAGCCCAUGUCCCACCAUCCACAGAAGACAGUUGACAUGUCCCAAGGGGAUCUGACCACUUACUACCCACAAUGAUGAAAGCCCU